rnacentral:rRNA from 1 species
GGUAGUCCACGCCGUAAACGGUGGGUACUAGGUGUGGGUUUCCUUCCUUGGGAUCCGUGCCGUAGCUAACGCAUUAAGUACCCCGCCUGGGGAGUACGGCCGCAAGGCUAAAACUCAAAGAAAUUGACGGGGGCCCGCACAAGCGGCGGAGCAUGUGGAUUAAUUCGAUGCAACGCGAAGAACCUUACCUGGGUUUGACAUGCACAGGACGUGCCUAGAGAUAGGUAUUCCCUUGUGGCCUGUGUGCAGGUGGUGCAUGGCUGUCGUCAGCUCGUGUCGUGAGAUGUUGGGUUAAG